rnacentral:rRNA from 1 species
UACGUAGGGUGCAAGCGUUACUCGGAAUUACUGGGCGUAAAGCGUGCGCAGGCGGUUUUGCACGCCCGAUGUGAAAUCCCCGGGCUUAACCUGGGAACUGCAUUUGUGACUGCAUAGCUAGAGUAUGGUAGAGGGGGAUGGAAUUCCGCGUGUAGCAGUGAAAUGCGUAGAUAUGCGGAGGAACACCGAUGGCGAAGGCAGUCCCCUGGACCUGUACUGACGCUCAUGCACGAAAGCGUGGGGAGCAAACAGG